AAAAUUACAACUAAGACCUAUCCUUUGGGAAUGCAAAACUAUUGUGAGGAAUGCAAGGACACAUGGUGAUGUGAUGAAAAGAAGACCAGCUGUGGUCACACAAUGUCAUCUUUCAUCAUAGAUGCAUAAAGCAAACUCUCACACUUUCAUCAAAGAUGUGUAAUUACCAGGUUCUCACAUCCAUGAAGCUUUGCCCGAACACUGUUUGUUCAGUAACGGAGUAAGAGCCUACUGUGUAACAGACUCUGUGUUGUGGACCAAGAUAAAAUGGUCAGUUUCUUGACUGAAUAAUGAAGUGCAUGAAUAAAACAUCACCAGAUUGACCAACAGUUACAGUUCUCCUAUGA
rnacentral:lncRNA from 1 species